UUCGACGACUAAGUGCGCGCGAUGGAUGCCUUGGCGAUUGCAGGCGAUGAAGGACGUGGAUUACUGCGAUAAGCUUCGGGGAGCCGCAAACAGGCUUUGAUCCGGAGAUUUCCGAAUGGGGAAACCCAGCCCGCUUGCGGGCUACGUCCAGCUGAACACAUAGGCUGGACGGGCGAACCUGGCGAACUGAAACAUCUAAGUAGCCAGAGGAAAAGACAUCAAUAGAGAUUCCCAAAGUAGCGGCGAGCGAAAUGGGAACAGCCAGGCUGAAUCAAGAAAGCGAAGCUAGCGGAAUGGUUCUGGAAAGGCCAGCCAUAGUGGGUGAAAGCCCCGUACGCGAAAGUGGAGCCGACGGACAGCCAAAAAGUAGGACGGGACACGUGAAAUCCUGUUCGAAGAUCGGAGGACCAUCUCCGAAGGCUAAAUACUCGCAAUCGACCGAUAGUGAACUAGUAGUGUGAGCGAACGGUGAAAAGAACCUCGGGACGGGGAGUGAAAUAGACCUGAAAUCACGUGCAUACAAAAAGUGGAAGCGCCCUUGUGGCGUGACCGCGUACCUUUUGCAUAAUGGGCCAGCGACUUACGGUCACAGGCAAGCCUAACCGUUUAGGGGAGGCGCAGGGAAACCGAGUCUGACAAGGGCGAAUUAGUCUGUGGUCGUAGACCCGAAACCAGGUGAGCUUACCAUGACCAGGCUGAAGGUUCAGUAACAUGAACUGGAGGGCCGAACCCACUAAUGUUGCAUUAUUAGGGGAUGAGUUGUGGUAAGGGGUGAAAGGCCAAUCAAACCUGGAGAUAGCUGGUUCUCUUCGAAAACUAUUUAGGUAGUGCCUCGUGUUUAUCACUGCCGGGGGUAGAGCACUGUUAUGGCUAGGGGGGAGUCAAUCCUUACCAAACCAUGGCAAACUCCGAAUACCGGCAAGCGGCAAUCACGGGAGACAGACAGCGGGUGCGAACGUCCGUUGUCGAGAGGGAAACAACCCAGACUGCCGGCUAAGGUCCCCAAGACACAGUUAAGUGGAAAACGAAGUGGGAUGACUAAUACAGCUAGGAUGUUGGCUUAGAAGCAGCCAUCAUUUAAAGAAAGCGUAAUAGCUCACUAGUCUAGUCAUCCUGCGCGGAAAAUGUAACGGGGCUCAAACUGUGCACCGAAGCCGCAGGAUCGAGGGCAGCUUGCUGCCUUGGAUCGGUAGAAGAGCGUUCUGUAAGCCGUCGAAGGUGGGCCGGUGAGGCCUGCUGGAGGUAUCAGAAGUGAGAAUGCUGGCAUGAGUAGCGAUAAUAGGGGUUAAAAACCCCUUCGCCGGAAGCCCAAGGUUUCCAGGGCCAUGUUAAUCAGCCCUGGGUUAGUCGGCCCCUAAGGCGAGGCAGAAAUGCGUAGUCGAUGGGAAAUCGGUUUUUAUUCCGAUACCUGAGCAUGAUGCGAUGGGUGACGGAGAUUGCUAGCCUGGCCGGGUGUUGGAUAUCCCGGUAAUACUUGUGGCCGCGUUCCGCAUGGAGCGCGGUGAGGAGUGGCCGAUGUCUUUCUAACGAAAGGCUGGAGCAGGUUACGCAGACUUCCAGGAAAAUCCCCUGAAGCUCCAGUCAUGUUCAGACCGUACCGCAAACCGACACAGGUGGGCAGGAAGAAAAUUCCAAGGCGCUUGAGAGAAUUCGGGUGAAGGAACUCGGCAAAAUGGCACCGUAACUUCGGGAGAAGGUGCGCCCCAAUAACGUGAAGCCACUUGCUGGCGGAGCGGUACGGGGCCGCAGUGAAUCGGUGGCUGCGACUGUUUAUCAAAAACACAGCACUCUGCAAACACGCAAGUGGACGUAUAGGGUGUGACGCCUGCCCAAUGCCUGAAGGUUAAUUGAUGGGGUUAUCUUCGGAGAAGCUCCUGAUCGAAGCCCGGGUCAAUGGCGGCCGUAACUAUAACGGUCCUAAGGUAGCGAAAUUCCUUGUCGGGUAAGUUCCGACCUGCACGAAUGGCGUAACGAUGGCCACACUGUCUCCACCCGAUACUCAGCGAAGUUUUAAUGGUCGUGCAGAUACGAUCUACCCGCUGCAAGACGGAAAGACCCCGUGAACCUUUACUACAGCUUUGCACUGUGCUUUGAAUAGGUUUGUGCAGGAUAGGUGGGAGACUUUGAAGCCGAGGCGUCAGCCUCGGUGGAGUCACCCUUGAGAUACCACCCUGAUCUAUUUGAAGCUCUAACCCAGAUCCGUUAUCCGGAGCGGGAACAAUGCAUGGUGGGUAGUUUGACUGGGGCGGUCUCCUCCCAAAGAGUAACGGAGGAGCGCAAUGGUAUGCUUAGUGCGGUCGGAAAUCGCACCUAAAAGUGUAAUGGCUGAAGCAUGCCUGACUGCGAGACCGACGGGUCAAGCAGGUGAGAAAUCAGGUCAUAGUGAUCCGGUGGUUCUGUAUGGAAGGGCCAUCGCGAAACGGAUAAAAGGUACUCCGGGGAUAACAGGCUUAUCGCGCCCAAGAGUUCAUAUCGACGGCGCGGAUUGGCACCUCGAUGUCGGCUCAUCACAUCCCGGGGCUGGAAAAGGUCCCAAGGGUAUGGCUGUUCGCCAUUUAAAGUGGUACGCGAGCUGGGUUCAGAACGUCGUGAGACAGUUCGGUCCCUAUCUGCAGUGGGCGUUGGAAAUUUGAGAGGAGCUGCUCCUAGUACGAGAGGACCGGAGUGGACGAACCUCUGGUGUACCGGUUGUCACGCCAGUGGCAUCGCCGGGUAGCUAAGUUCGGUAAGGAUAACCGCUGAAAGCAUCUAAGCGGGAAGCCCCCCUCAAGAUGAGAUUUCCCUAGGGCCUCGAGCCCUCUGAAGGUCCGUCAGAGACUAUGACAUGAUAGGCUGGAUAUGGAAGCGCAGCAAUGUGUUAAGUUAACCAGUACUAAUUGACCGUGAGGCUUGAUUUC
rnacentral:rRNA from 1 species